ACGAGCAUGUUGAAAUUGGUAAACAAUCCUUUCUUAAGAAGAGGUGGAAAUUUUUCCUUAAGAGUUCAAGUCUCUUUGUUCGUA
rnacentral:tRNA from 1 species